rnacentral:sRNA from 1 species
AGCUGGGAUUACAGGCAUGCACCACCAUGUCCAGCUAAUUUUGUAUUUUUAGU